UAGAGUUAUGAUAUCUUACUGUAUUAAUUUUCUUCUCCUUACUCCUUUAUUAAUUUUUAUUUUAUCUAACAUUUUUCCAUUCAUUCUACACACAGAUCCUGUCUACCCAGGGAUACUAGGAAUGAGACUUAUAUUAUACUACAAGUAGAUAUGAGACUCUUUUUCUUAUAUAUGUAAAAAAUGCUCUUAAAACAUAGGAGUUUUGUUUAAUGGGUGAAAAUAUAUCUGCAUUAUAUAUCUCUUGAAAGUCUGGAUCAGACUGGAAUUUUGUAUCGUGGAAAAGGAGUUGCCUGAAGUAAACUGGCGGCUGUUCAUCAAUUGUAGAAUAUACGAGAUGUAACUUCAACUUUAGCUUGAGCCCC
rnacentral:lncRNA from 1 species